UCGAGUCAACAUUCCAAUACAACACUUCUCGCCAUAGAGGAAGCUUCUCGCAGAAGCCCUCAAAGAAUCGUAAGCAUGCCAGAUACAGCAGCUUGCUGGCCUUGGUGGCUCAACUUUUGGGGCAGCAGCCAGGAGGAUGCUGGAGCUUCUGCUAAGCCUUGAGGUUGCUGUGCAGUUCAGCUGGGCAGGCCAAAAAGGCAAAAGGAAGUUUGUGGAUCUAGGUGUCACAGAUGUCAUUUGCAAGGCCGUGAGGCGAAAUUUUCCGGAAACAAAAAAAAUGACAUCGAGUGUGUGAUUAAAGUGUGGCUUCGGCAUGCUGGGGAAAAGCUCCAGAAGCAGCGCUUAAGAACUUCUCGCACUCACCAUGAGGAAUGUCUUCAAAGUGUCGCGUUGUCAAGCCCAUCGGAUGAAGACCUCUGAAGGCACAGGGCAAGAAGUCUCAUCUAGUGAAAACUGCCAAGUUUCAUUCCUGAAAAUAAACAUGUUUUCUGUGCA